CCCUUAGAUGUUCUGGGCUGCACGCGCGCUACACUGAUGCGCUCAACGAGUUUUAACCUUGCCUGGAAAGGUUGGGUAAUCUUUUUAAAACGCAUCGUGAUGGGGAUAGAUUAUUGCAAUUAUUAAUCUUCAACGAGGAAUUCCUAGUAAGCGCGAGUCAUCAGCUCGUGCUGAUUACGUCCCUGCCCUUUGUACACACCGCCCGUCGCUCCCACCGAUUGAGUGAUCCGGUGAAUAAUUCGGACUGCGGCAUUGACCGGUUCCCGAUCGUUGCUGCGGAAAGUUUAGUGAACCUUAUCACUUAGAGGAAGGAGAAGUCGUAACA
rnacentral:rRNA from 1 species